CCUACGGGAGGCAGCAGUGAGGAAUAUUGGUCAAUGGACGAGAGUCUGAACCAGCCAAGUAGCGUGAAGGAUGACUGCCCUAUGGGUUGUAAACUUCUUUUAUAUGGGAAUAAAAUGUUCCACGUGUGGGAGUUUGUAUGUAUCAUAUGAAUAAGGAUCGGCUAACUCCGUGCCAGCAGCCGCGGUAAUUCGGAGGAUCCGAGCGUUAUCCGGAUUUAUUGGGUUUAAAGGGAGCGUAGGUGGAUUGUUAAGUCAGUUGUGAAAGUUUGCGGCUCAACCCUAAAAUUGCAGUUGAAACUGGCAGUCUUGAGUACAGGAGAGGUGGGCGGAAUUCGUGGUGUAGCGGUGAAAUGCUUAGAUAUCACGAAGAACUCCGAUUGCGAAGGCAGCUCACUGGACUGCAACUGACACUGAGGCUCGAAAGUGUGGGGAGCAAACAGGAUUAGAUACCCCUGUAGUC
rnacentral:rRNA from 1 species